rnacentral:rRNA from 1 species
UACGGAGGGUGCAAGCGUUAUCCGGAUUCACUGGGUUUAAAGGGUGCGUAGGUGGGCAGGUAAGUCAGUGGUGAAAUCUCCGGGCUUAACCCGGAACUGCCAUUGAUACUAUCUGUCUUGAAUACCGUGGAGGUGAGCGGAAUAUGUCAUGUAGCGGUGAAAUGCUUAGAUAUGACAUAGAACACCAAUUGCGAAGGCAGCCUC